rnacentral:tRNA from 1 species
GCCUGGGUGGCUUGGUCGGUUAAGCGUCCGACUUCGGCUCAGGUCAUGAUCUCACGGUCUGUGAGUUCGAGCCCCACUUCGGGCU